rnacentral:RNase_P_RNA from 1 species
GAAGCGCGCCAGACCGUCGCUGGCACAGGGCCCGAAAGGGCGUGCUGGAGGAACGUCCGGACUGCACAGGACAGCGUAGGAGGUAACACCUCUCCACCGACAAGCCAGUCAGGGCAACCUGGGUGGCCCUAAGGUGAGGAUCAGAGCAACAGAGACGAGCCGAUUCAGUUCGGGUGAAACGGGCAAUCUCUACGCGCAGCAAUACCAAAUAGGCCAACGUUGACGUGGUUCCGCGGAGUUGGCGGGUAGGUAGCACCGAGCCGCUUGG